UUUGUUUAGUUACAUGUACAUAUGAUCAAAUAUGGAUGGAAUUCUCAAAUUUGUGUAUGCUAUGUUCUUAUCUCUUAUUCUAUUUCUUGUUGUCAUUGACGUCCACGCAUGCAAUGUUGAUCAUGAUUGUCCACAAUGGUAUUGUUUUCGUCCUGAUGUUAUGAAGUGCAUUUUUGAAACUUGUUACUGCGGAAGUGGAAAUUAUUCAAAGUUACUUCUAUGAAUAUAAUUAAAUUAGUUCGUAAAAAUUAUGUUAGUCUUACUAUUUUUGGCGAAUAAAAUUGUAUGUCAUCAACAAGUUGUAAUACAUAAGAAAUUAUAAAAUAAAAAAAAAGUUGUAUAAUACAAAUAAAAUCUCAUUUCGAUUAAUUAAAAAAAUACCUCAUUUUCUGGCUACUCUAAGUAUUUAAAUCUAAAAAAAAAUAAACUUUUUUAGAGCAUCCACAAUGAUGAUUGUUUCACUAUUUUGUGGGUCUCAUUAAUAAAUUGUAUCAAUUGUAUUUAUAUGAAUAUAUUUUUUUAAAUUGAAAAAUAUAGAGUUAUUUAUAGAACCCAUUUAAUUAAAAAGUUGAGGUACAGGUUGGAGAGAUUAAGAGCACAUUGAGUAUUAACAUUAAAAAGUUAUAAAAUAAAUUAUGUCUACAUAUUGAGCCACUUAAGCAUUCAAAUGGGUGGAUAUUUUAUCAUGUUAUUAGUUCAACGAAUCUUACUUAUAUCUAAAUCCUAACAUGCAUACAUUGUUAGCUUAUCUUACUUAUAUCCCUUACUCUAAAUGCUUAUUAGGUCAUACUAUCAUUAACCCUAAUUUUUCCCUCUAAUAAGCUGUCAUUAAUUGCUAAUCCCACUUAAUCCUACUAUUUUUCCUUCCUAAUACAUUGCCAGUUUGAAUUUCGGUGGAACUUAGUGAGGUUUGUAUUGUUAAUUGUGUCAUUGCAGCUUUAGGGUUUCUAUGCAUAGUUAUUUUCAAAUCCCUUUGCUUGGUAUACGUAAAGCAUUUAAUUGUGGCUAUUAGGAUACCAAAUUGAAAACCAAGCCAAUCUUCCCAUAAGCCAAUAUUCCUAUAAAUCAUAGUCUCUUUCCCUCUGUUUCUCUCUCCACCCCAUUUCACAACGUCUUCCUCCUCCACUUUCUGUCAAACCAAACAAAUUUUCUAUCUACAUUCAAAUUUGCUUUUCCAUCAAAUUUCAUCUUUUUAAUUUUUGGUUUGUGAAUCAAACUUCAAUUGAAGAACCCCAUUUCUCAUAAUGAUGACAAUGUCUCAUUCUGUACAACAUAUGUCACCGUUAAAUUUCAUUUGCCACCACAUCUGCAUUUUGCUUCACCAACCUUCUAUUCAUUCUCCCUCAAUUUUAGCAACUCGAUGGUGAAUGCUAAUUUGGAAAAGUAUGGUGUUGAAGUUUGGCCAUGAAAAAGAUGGGAACCGUACUGGUUGCCGUUGCAAUCCUUUAGUGCAAAUGCUCUAGCCAAUGCAAGGAUGUCAGCACCGUCACGUAGUCGCCACAUUGUCGUUCCAACCACCUUUUAGUAUCAAGAGCCAAUUCACAGUAAUUGAACGUCAACAUCCAUCGGUAAAACAAACUUGCACACGGUGCGCAACAAGUUAAGCUAACGUAUCGUAGAAGGUGCCUCAAACUGUGCCAUACAGUACUCCUGUUCGUUUUUUAAGUUUCUGCCAUGGUUGGUCAUACCACUGCUUGACUGGUCUAUUGGAUACCAUCCAAUCCAUUUGAUGAGCUGGAGAAGGUUGUCAACAAGAUGAGGCCGAAAUAUAUUUCUAAAUUCUGUUAUCGUGCUACUUGGUUGUUGAGCAUUUUCAUCAUGUAUUUUCCCCUUUGUUGUCGAACGAGUAGUUGUUUAAUUCUAAUCCUACCUUUUCUAAUUGUUGUCCUAAUUAAUGAAGUAUCAAACAUAUUUUCCUUUGCAAAGGGGCUGUUAUUGUUUGGAAGCUGAACAAUACGACAUUUGAUUAGUUGUUGUUUUCUAAUUUUUUUUUUUCCAAACUCUGUUAGAAAACAAUACCGUGAUUUCAUAUUUCCUGUAUUUUUGUCUAUUAUAGUUUUUAAGUUAUACUGACCCAACUAUUAAUGUGAUUUGAGAUCAUUUUGUUGAGUAUAACCUAAAAAGCUUCUAGCUGAGGAUCCAAGACCUUGAUGUGGUAAAACUCAAACACAUUUUCUAUAAAAAAAACAUCUAGCGUGCAAACUUUUCAAUGGUACAAUACACCAAUGGUCAAAAAUAAUCAUGAUUUUUUCUUUAAAAAUUAAUUGUUUAGUGUUGGGUUAUGAAUUUUGCCUUAGUGUUUGAGUUCCCGUGUAGGUGAAAUAAGGUUUGCCAAUGUUAACAAAUGUGUUUUGGUAAGUGCCAUACGUAUACACAUGUCUAAAUACCAUGUAUAUACUUAUAUAUGUUAUUUAAUACGAUGUAUUACAAUAUUUAAAGUAUAACAGGGAAUAAUCAAUUACAUUUUUUUUGUUUUAUCUUAUAUACUUAUGUUGAUUAGUUAGAAGCAUUGAUAUAUGGUAAAUAGAAGGUAUAUGUGACAUUUGAUAAAAGAUUUUUUAUAAAACCUGUUUUUGUCUACUUAAAUGAUAUGAUAUUUGUUUUAUUAUUACUAAGAAAUUAAACUAAUAAUAAUGUGGUGUAUAUAUAAGACUGUACGAUUCAACAAAAAAAAAAUAUUAACAAAGUCUGUACGUAUAAUGUGGCAUGAAACAUACAGUUAGUGCAUUUUUUUAAAAGCCAAACCACCAAACUCAACCAUGGAAAGACAACACUACAUGUUCAUAUAGGUUCAUUGGAAGGCAAUUCUGUAUACAUUAUCUAUGUUGGCAACGACUAUAUUAAGAAGCUGCUCUAUUUAAUUCUUACUGCAUUUCAUUUGUUUAUGGCCAUAUGCAUGGAUCCACAACAUAGUUAUUUACAAGGCAUUUGAGUGGCAUAAUGUGUGACCAAAUAUACCCUCUUUACGAUGUUGGAAUUUUUUUGAAUUUGUUUUUGAAUUUUUAGCUCUUGUUAUGUUAUGUUAUGUUAGAUUAACAUGUUUUUAUUUUUUAUUUUUUAUGUUAUGUUGAAUUCUUGAUCUCUUUCUCAAAUAACAUCAUCGUCUAUGUAUGUCAGUGACAACAAAAACUAAU